UAACUUGAUUUUUUGGCUAAUUCAAAAAAAUAUUUCAUCAAAGACACCAAAAGAGUGCGUAGUUUUCUGAUAUAAUAUAGAUAUAUCAGCUUCCUCCUCAUGUCUAAAUGUGUAAUAGGUAUCAAAUUCAUGAGAGUAGUAAAUGAGCUGCAAUAUAAUAGACUAGAGAAUGAGCCAAGUAUACCUCAUUUGAAACUUCAAAUUUCAGAUUCUCAAAACUAAAGACGUUCGAUCUCUUGCUUUCCUUAUAGUUUUAGGGGGUUAUCGGAAAUGCCAAUUCUUGAAGAUUUGGAAGAAAAUAUAUACACCGUAUUCGAUCUUGUGCUUUGCAUGUGCCUCCUCAUGUCUUAUCUUCAUGAAGGACCGCUCGACCCACUCAUGGUAUCAAGUCGGUGCGAACUCAGUGAGCCAAAGAGAACGAGUCGGAUGAUGACUAGGGCAGUAAUGGUGGUGACCACGUGAGGCUUACGUAGCCUAGAUAUUGGCGUAAAGUGGCUUGGGUUGGGCUGUUUGGGUUUUGAGGCCCACGUUUUCGAUUUUUUCGUAGUGGCGUGUCCCGCGAAACCGAUUUUCUUUUGGGCCAAUUACAUAUAAGUCCACUUUGAGACAUUUUUUCCCACAUAGAUCCACCCUAACAUUUUUACCCACAUAAGUCCACCCAAGUCUAAAUAAGGUUUUGUAUUAAGUAUUGAAGUUCAACAUAAUUACAGACUGCCAUCCAACAAAAAAAAUUAGAUUUUCUUCCUUAUAUUUACAAGAAUGCUACUAGUAUAAAAAGUCAACAACCACUCUCAUUUCGGAACAGUCUCCGGCGGACCUCCAGCGAGAUUUCCAGCAGACCUCCGGCGAGGUUUCAGGCGGACCUCCGGCGAGGUUUUCGGCCGACGUCCGGCGAGAUUUCCGACUGACCUCCGGCGAGGUUUCCGUUCGACUUCCGACGAUGACAAAAAUUACUACUACCAGCUAUAAAAGCUACUACCACCAGCUACAAAAGCUACUACCACCGCCUACAAAAGAUACUACUGUGAGGUUUCCGAUGAACACAAAAGCUACUACCACUAGCCACAAAAACUACUACCACAAGCUACAAAAGCUACUACCACCGCCUACAAAAGCUACUACUGUGAGGUUUCCGACGAACACAAAAACUACUACCACCAGCUACAAAAGCUAUUACCACCGCCUACAAAAGCUACUACCACCGCCUACAAAAGCUACUACUGUGAGGUUUUCGACGAACACAAAAACUACUAGCACCAGCCACAAAAGCUACUACCACCAGCUACAAAAGCUACUAUCACCGCCUACAAAAGCUACUAUUGUGAGGUUUCCGACGAACACAAAAAAUACUACCAUCAGCCACAAAAGCUACUACCACCGCCUACAAAAGCUACUACCACCGCCUACAAAAGCUACUACCGCUACCAACAUAACGCUACCAACAAAAGCUACUACCGAGAUAAACAAAAGCUACUACCGAGAUAAACAAAAGCUACCACCAACAUAAACAAAAGCUACUACCCCUAUAUACAAAAGCUACCACCACAACAAAAGUUAUUACCGACAUAAACAAAAGCUAUUACCAACAUAAACAAAAGCUAUUACCAACAUAAACAAAAGCUACUACCCCUAUAUACAAAAACUACUACUGCCAGACAUAAAAGCUAUUGCCUCCAUCAAUAUAAGCUACUACCGUUACCAACAAAAAAUACUACUCUAACUAACAAAAGCUACUGCUGUCACUGACAAAAACUACUACAAGAUAUUUACUCAACCAUAAAAACAAACAAACAAUUAUUAGAAGAUUAAAGCUUAAGCAUAAAAGGAAAUCAAGAGAAUUGCAGAUCGGAUCCGGCGGCCGACGACGACAGAAAAGACGUCGCUCCGUCGACGGAGCUCCCAUCUUCGCUCGCUGCGGAUGAUGAGUCACGAAAUUCCUCAGCGUUUGACCGAUCAGAAAUACGAUCGAACGCGACUGAUUGGAGAUGAUGAAGGAUGCCUCGCUAGGUCUGCAUUUCUGAGAUCGAAGGACACCUCGUUAGGUCGGCAUAUCCGAGAUCCCAUAGGACUAAACGUAGCGACGACGUUGAGGCCUUCCUCGAGAUUGACGUCGUUCUCCUUGACCGGUGUGCCUCUCAACCAAACCUUCUUCGUCGAGGCCAUCGCUGCCUACCGGAUUAGAUCAUCCACAUCAUUGUUGAGAUCCAGAUCGUCGGCGUCAACUUUAUGGAUCACGCAGAUGCAAAGAUCGCCGUUGCGGUGUCCUUGAGCACGGCGGAGCCACCGUCUCGGUUGACCAUCGUAUGUUUGAGAGAGAGAAAGAGAGGUGUGCGGCGGCGACGUCGUCGGAAUCGGAGGUGGAAGAAUAAGGAGAGAGAAGUCGAGCGAAAGGCAGAAAGAGAAAGGAGAGGGAGAGAGAGAGGUGUGUGAGAGGGAUAAAUUUUUAGUACAGGGGUAAAAUAGUCAGGAUGUAAUAAUUUGAGAAAGAAAAGUGGACUUAUCUGGGUAAAAAAAUCAGAGUGAACUUGUGUGGGAGAAAAUACGGAGAAUGUGACUUAAAUGAAAUUUUCUAUUUUCUUUUCACGUGGGGCCAGCGCGUGACCAAGACCUACAAGUUGUUCAAAGACCUACAAGUUGAACACUUUUGGGGGAAGAAGAUGGAGGCAUAGUUGGGUGAUGCAUGGUCCUCUGUGCAUUUCAGAAAAGAUCGAUCCCACUCUUCUUUUUACAGAACCAUGCAUGUGCCCUCUUAUAUCACUUUCUUCUUGCAUUAUUGGGUGGUGCUUGCUUAGAUGCAUCAAUGCAUUAGAAACUUGAUCAACGUUGAUGAAUAUGUAUAUGUAUGUCACUAACUCUAAAGUAUGUUUUAAUUAAACCUGAUUUAGCUGACAUGAUCUCUCGAUGUGAAUUAGUCUGGGUCUAAAAAGAAGAUACUGACGUUGAUAAUCUAAAAAAAAAAUUAAACCUGGUUUAGUGCAUACUCUUUGUACUUUGCUCUAAAAUAGGAGCGCUAUUUUAUAUUUUUUUUCAGCUGUCUUCACUUAUCUUUUCUAAUAAAUAGCAAACGAAUGCGCACCAUUGUGAGAUCACGCUAGCCUAAUUUUCUUCUCGAGUUUAUCUAGCUUUUCUCUCAAUACCUCUCUAUCGCUGACAUUGAGCUAGCUAGCAGUUGAGACUCAGUCUCCUUGUAUUCUUUGUUAAAUACUUCACUAUCUACUCUCUAUUGCUACACCCAAAACAAAAGUUGAACUUACACCAUA
rnacentral:lncRNA from 1 species